rnacentral:tRNA from 1 species
CUCCUGUUAGUUCAAACGGAAGAACAUCGACCUUCUAAGUCGCAGGUUACUGGUUCGAGUCCAGUACGGGAGACAA